UGCACACUUUCACUGCAUGUCAGGUUUAAAGCCCCAAAAAUGUAUUUAGUUGAUGAAUCUUAAAAUUGGUAUAAAAUUUUACAAAAAGUUUAUGAAAAUUAUUGUGUACCCUCAUCUGUAUUCAAUGUAUAAGAAAAAUGUUACCACUUUUUACUUGACGAUUACACUACAUGACAAUUUUAUUUUAUUAUUUUUUUUUAUUUUUUAUUUUUUUUAAGUUUUUCAAAACCAUACAAACAUUUCUAAGAACUUGUCAUUGACCAUUUAUGAUUACGGGUUUGUUCAAAUGAACAAUACAAAUAGUGUUACCUGUCUUAGUAAGCACCAUUAACUAACCUGAAAACGUUAGUGUGGAAAUACUGGGAGAAGCAAUUCUUAUUAAAGAUAGACUGGACGCUCCUACCCCUGCAAUCAUAUGUGCAGGUGAUCAUGAUAAUUACCCUUCUACAAUACCACUUAAUCAGUGGGGUGUCAAACUAGUCUGAUCUAAACUGCUUUCCCUACAGGCCUGCUGAAUGGCUUCGUUUACCCUUCAGGCACAACCUUAAAUUAUCUCCUUGCAUGUAAUCACUGCAAUGUGAUUAAAAUAAACGCUUUGCCUACACAUGCACUACAUUUCAACAGAAUUAACAGCUUUGGGAGGAACAAGUGGUGAUAAUUGUGGUGUUUUGGGCCAUCUUUUGUGGAGACAGAAGGAUCUCAUGCAAGCACAGAGAAAACAUCGCAGUUCAGAGGGUAUGAGCUCAGGGCUUCGCAACGCACAAUACGAUAAAUGCGUUGCCAUGCCUACACAGGCACUGGGCCAAAAGGGUGGGAAGAAAGAUCGCACACAGCUGAAGUUCAUCUACUGAACGUUUUAGCCAUUUGAACCUGAAGAAAACUUUUUACGCGUUGAUAAAUGUUCUGUGGCGGGAGCGAAGCGAUGUGAAAAGUGAAGUCAAUAGGCUUUGCUGUAUAGCAGUCGUGAUGCACUCAGGCUCAAAGGAAGAUUUCACUUCUACCUCAACAGUUUUUGAUCUGAUUUCUGAGGUGAUGUUCUGAGAGGCUGAAAGGAAAGGUCAGGUUAUGACAAGCCGAGAAACGUCAUUUCAGGCACUCUCUUCCAAAGAAGGCAAUAACCGAAGUACAUUAAGGUUUCAGACUUCACUUUUUCAGACACCAUACCUUUUUUUUGAAAAUUUCUUUUUAAUAGGUAUGAGGAAAAAAAAAAAAAAAAACAGACCACAUACUCACAUUCAGUUAAAGGUUUCUUUUUCAAAACAAAAUCCAUUAAAAUGGACAAUAUACAUUUAUAACACUUGUACCACAAGUUUAAAGAAAACCUUGCGGUAAAGUAAUAAGGUUGACAAAAGUAUUGAGAAGCAAGAUAAAUACACAAAAUCAUUGUGUACAUUUCUGAAGGAUGAUCUUUGAGUCCCCAAGAGCAGGCUGGGAUUGGUUUAACUUCUUGUGUCAAACCACAGACAGAUCCCAGUCCUGACCAUACAGGUCCAUGUCAAUUCAUAGCAAUGAAUCUCACUGGCCACUUUCUUGUCCAAGCAUCUUUUUUAACUUUUUAAAUUUGUUUUUCCCUAUUCUUUUCUUCCUCAAAUUCCUCCUUUUCGCU